CGGCAGAAAGGGGCUGUUAGUGCCUUCCGCCGCCCCGGGCGGGGGGACGGGACGGGACGGGACGGGACGGGCCGGGCUUCUCGGGGCGCUUCGCUCCAGGCACGUACUUCUUUCGAGAGCGGGGAACUCACCCGGGGACUUUCAGGCUACAGCUGGGGCCGGGUGACGCACGCGGAGCCCACGGGCCGCCCGCGGCAGAAAGCAAGCAGCGCUUCCUCCUCUCCUCUGCUCCGCUUUCGCUGCUGCCCCCCGGCAAGGACGCGCCUGUGCAUCGCUGCUGGGAAGGCGCUAAGAGGUCCGACUGAAGAUAUGGUUGGACGUUACAAGCAGGAAAACGCACCAGCAAGACCCUGCACUUCCCACUGACCCUGCGGCAGACCUCAGCCUAUGAAAAAGUUUUUAUUUUGAUGCCAAAGAGGACAAGCCUCUCCACUUAGAGUCAGCCACACCACGGAUGCUUGCGCCAUGCAACAAAACUUAUUUCAGGACUGGAGUCCAGAGCCGUUUCACCCCGGCUGCAUCUGCCAGGGGUAUAAGCGCAUCACUUGGACCCACAGGCAACUCAAGCAGAGCAUUCAUGUUGCUGGGCGUUUUCAGGCACACGCUGCGUCAGGGCAGUAGGAAAAAAGUAGCAGAACUGGCAGCAGCCACUUCAGCACCAACCUCCGGACCUGCGAGCCUCUGAGCAUUAAAAAUUCACCGUCGCCAGCAUCAUCUGGCACGUGCGUCGCCUGCCUCCGCCCGCUCCCCAGACUGCGGCACUAGCCGCAGAGGCGCACGCUACAGAGCUGAGCGGAGACCAGAACGCGGCUCCGAACACGGCGGAGAUCCGGGGGGGGGGGGCAUCACUUCCCCAGGAAACUGCAGAAAAAGGCUGGCAAAAUCUGCCGCACAGGAGCAGGGAGUGAUUUGGUCAGGACUACAUACAUUGACAGGCCAGUUCAGGAGAUGCCACAAGACCAGGAGACUGGGAAAAAUUUAGGAACCUCUUCAAAACACCCUGCAAAACUGCUAAGUUUAGAAAGGCUGCUUACCUGCCUGAAACGGGCUGGAGUUUAAGAAAUGCUGACGCUGGAACUGAGCAGCGUUCCAGUACCGGGCUCGCUUUUGCCCUGUGCAAGAGAUGCUGUUUUCCAGACCCCGUCCGAUACUCCGCAAGGUCCUGUGUUGUGGGGUUGCGUCCGAGGCGGUGGUGCGAGUGUCGCGCGUGGCACAGUUGCUGUCUGCCAGGAUCUACUGCGUCUGUCUGGCUGCUGCUCUCCAGGGCAGUUUCCAACACCGUGGAGGUGGCCUGACAUCUUUGGCCCUGGCCCUCAAAGGCAUCUAAAUAAGUAACAUCUGACCAACAGAUCUUUGAAGGACCCUAGACAUGCUUCACUGGAUGUUUCUUUUCUCAGUUACAAUUCUUUUUUUUGCAGAUAACUGGUUUUAAGACCAUUUAAUGUAGACUAUGAUGAUUUUCUUUCAACCUAGCAUGUCAUACUCCAUCUAAAGCAAAUGUUUGAGUUAUUUCACAGGGUUGGCUGAAAACGGUAACUCAACAAACAUUUAAUGCUUGUUAGAAAUGACCUUUUCUUCCAUGAAAGCAUGCCGAGUGGCAUUAUUCAGGCUAUCGCUACCAAAACCAGCCCCAAACCACUGGUUGCUUCCAUUCCAGUUUGGAAGGAACAUCCCAUCAGCCCACUGUUGCCUCCUGAUCUUCUCUGUGUAGUUUGGAACUCUGCAAGAGUUUCAAGAUAUACUAAAAAUCAAUAUUACUGGCUCCUGGAGCUCCUCAGAUGGUUUUUCCUGUUACUUCGGCAUGCCCACUAAUUACUUCUGCAGAUUUAAAGUGUUUUACAACAAGCAGCUGCCGUUUUAUGUCCUAUUGAACAACUGCGUAGGGUAUUUUUCAUUACUACAGUAAGAUAUAAAUAAAUCUUUGGCCUUGUUUUUGAGUUAAGUGAACUGCUUUUCUAUUAUUUUUAUGCUAUUGUCCCUGUCAAGUAUUGUAACUGUACCACUCUCCAGAUGAUGUUUGUUCUUGGGUAUAUUCAGUGUGUAUUGUCCUUACCAUAAUGGCUAUAGAUUUUCUACUUACCUCCUCCCUUACCAGUGGCCAACAGUGACAGUAAAUUGAUAGUUAAGAAA